ACACACACACACAAGCGUCCCACUCGGAUCCGUGUAGCCCGCUUCUCAAAUGAACCCGAACCCGUGCCCGCCACCAUCUACCCCCUAGCAACCGACCCGGAUGAUAAAAUGCUGGAGAUCAGCGGGAGCUUCAACUCGCUGUUGCAGUCGAGUGGGCAGUUUGGGGAUUUGAACUUUCUUGAUGGGUUCGAUUCGGGUGCGGGCUCGGGUGAGAUCACGAACCCGGCUCUGGAUCCGCAGGAGGCUUAAAAAGAUGAGUUUUUUAAUCCUUUCAAUGUUUAGUUUGUGGUUUAGAUGGGUAUACCUAGUUUGGGUCUGAAUAAUUUUUCGGUUUGAUGUAUGUAUGACAAUCUUAAUAUUAGUUUAAGCAUGUUCAGAUCAAUGCCCUGUUGUUUAUAUUCUCUUUUACUCUGGGUUUAAAUUUGAAGUGAAUUUAUAUACUUUACAUCGAUUAGUUACUUAUUAUCUCCAUAUUCCUCUUCAUUACCAUUUAGAUAUUGUGUUUGUCCUUAGAUUCUCUCUCCUACCAAGAUCUUGCUUUGGUUACAAAUCUAGAGAAAACCCAAAGUUUUGAAGUGUUAUGUUUCUAUUUUUGGAAAGAUUUGGAGGGAAGUGUGAAAGAGUUUAAUUGACUGAUAUAGCUUUUGUUGUUUGCUGAUAAUUAUUGCUUCGGUUGAGGGGAAGCAAUUAAUGACUUUGAAUUUAUUUCCCAAGGUGAUCUUAGCAUUUUUAAAGAAUUAUGCAAAUUCAUAAGCGCUUUGCUACCUUUUAUUGAUUCAUGAUGGCGUGCUCAUAUGGACUUUACAAUUUACGCUUGAAAAUGUUGCAUGCACCUUUUUUAAUGGCAGAUGUAUAGUUUUCUUCAUGAUUUUAAUGGUCUUUACACAGCUUGUGAUUUAAAUCAAGCAGUUUAGAGACCAUUUGUCGAUACAAGUGCAAUUUGAAUGGUUUCUUAAACAAGACGAGAUGGUGAAUGUUAAUUUGAAUGGUUUCUUAAACAAGACCGUUUGGUGGAUGUGCAAGAACACCUAAAUUGUAUGCUUUCUUCUUCAUAAGCAUGUGGAGGCCAAACAUGUGUUUUAGAAUGUAAUAUAUGAAUUUGUAGAUUGUCAAUAACAUAUCAAGAUUCCUUGUGAGGGUAUCCCUACAUGUAUGACACAAAAUGAUCUCAAAAGAGGAAUCAGGUUAUGACACUUUGAUAAUCAAAGUGUUAUACAAACUAAAGUGAAAGAGGACACAUGACUCUUGCUUAAUAUUUUUGAAUAAAACAAUUGUAUGUUUGCCCAUCUAACGGAGUCAUGUUGCUAUGUUUUACAGAUUCAGUAGAUGGAUAAGCUCUUGGUAACCAAAUGAAUUCUGUUUUUUGUACAAAGAGCAAGCCAAAUUGUAAUGCUUGCCCAAUGAGAGGAGAGUGCAAACACUUUUGCAUGUUCAUUUGCCAGAUUUCUGAAGGCAAGAGGGUAUAAUGUUGACAAAGCAACUCAUGUGUGGUCAGACAUGCUCCAGUGGAGAAGUGACUUUGGUAUAGAUUCUAUUCUACAGGUACUGCUUGCUUUGGAAGAGAGGAUUGGGAAUCUAAGCACAGGUUUGUCUGAAGCCGAUAUCUCUAGGUAUAUAGUGGAGGCGACAUACCGUUCACCAAAUCAAGUUCAAGAUAAGGAAGAAGAGAAAUUGUGUAAUAUGCUUGGUAGGCCUCUUGUUGGUUUAGGGCUCAUUGUUCUACUUUGGAUUGCUAUCUUUCUUUCGAAGUGAAAAUGCUAUUGUCGACAAACUGAGCUCCUAUUUUAAAUCCAUGUUGACAUAUUGCUUGCACUAUAUUAUUUAUAUAGAUAUGUUGUAUUGCCAAACUGCAUGUUUGUUGUAUACAAAACAAACCAUUAAUGUUUAA